GAUGAACGCUAGCGGCAGGCUUAACACAUGCAAGUCGAGGGGCAGCGCGGGUAGCAAUACCUGGCGGCGACCGGCAAACGGGUGCGGAACACGUACGCAAUCUGCCCUUACCCGGAGCAUAGCCCGAAGAAAUUCGGAUUAACUCUCCAUAAGAUAGUAAAAUGGCAUCAUUUAGCUAUUAAAAAUUUAUUUGGUAAGGAUGAGCGUGCGUCCCAUUAGCUAGUUGGUAGGGUAACGGCCUACCAAGGCGACGAUGGGUAGCUGGUGUGAGAGCACGACCAGCCACACGGGCACUGAGACACGGGCCCGACUCCUACGGGAGGCAGCAGUGAGGAAUAUUGGUCAAUGGACGCAAGUCUGAACCAGCCAUGCCGCGUGAAGGAUGAAGGCCUUCUGGGUUGUAAACUUCUUUUAUGUGGGAAGAAACCUCUGAUUUCUAUUAGAGUUGACGGUACCAUAGGAAUAAGCACCGGCUAACUCCGUGCCAGCAGCCGCGGUAAU
rnacentral:rRNA from 1 species